ensembl:lncRNA
CAAAACUUCAGCCAUUACAUACUGACAUUAUAUCUUAAGCUUUGACUUUUACUUCUUCAAGAAGCAUGUCUCCUUUCUUAAUUUGACUGAUCUCACAUAUGGUGGAAUUAUAUAAUGUCAAGUCUGAGAGCACCAGUGAUUCCAGAAAAUAAACGUGACAGUAACUCAUUAGAUGAUCACUUUUAAUUAGCAACUCUUUCAUGCACCUUAUUUUCUGAGACUUUCUCUCGCCAUUUCUUUGAGAACUCUGUGGAUUUUUCCUUCUUUUAUUUCAUAAUCUUAAUUCUCUUCUCCAGAGGCUCUGCCUGUAUCUUUUCUUCCUUCCGUUGCCUUUUGCCCCUCAUCUUCUCCAGAGGCUCCUGCUGUACUUUUUCUUUUCUCUUCCCUCCUUUGUCUUCACGCUUCAUCUUCUCCAGAGGCUCCUGCUGUACUUUUUCUUUUCCCUUCCCUCUUUUGCCUUCACUCUUCAUCUUCUCCAGAGGCUCUGCCUGUAUCUUUUCUUCUUUCCUUUGCCUUUUGCUCCUCAUCUUCUCCAGAGGCUUCUGCUGUACUUUUUCAUUUCUCUUUCCUACUUUGGCUUCACUCUUCAUCUUCUCCAGAGGCUCUGACUGUAUCUUUUCUUUCUUCCUUUGCCUUUUGCCCCUCAUCUUCUCCAGAGGCUCCUGCUGUACUUUUUGUUUUCUCUUUCCUACUUUGGCUUCACUCUUCAUCUUCUCCAGAGGCUCUGACUGUAUCUUUUCUUCCCUCCUUUGCCUUUUGCCCCUCAUCUUCUCCAGAGGCUGCUGCUGUACUUUUUCUUUUCUCUUCCCUCUUUUGUCUUCACGCUUCAUCUUCUCCAGAGGCUCCUGCUGUACUUUUUCUUUUCUCUUCCCUCCUUUGUCUUCACGCUUCAUCUUCUCCAGAGGCUCCUGCUGUACUUUUUCUUUUCUCUUCCCUCCUUUGUCUUCACGCUUCAUCUUCUCCAGAGGCUCCUGCUGUACUUUUUCUUUUCUCUUCCCUCCUUUGUCUUCACUCUUCAUCUUCUCCAGAGGCUUCUGCUGUACUUUUUCUUUUCUCUUUCCUACUUUGGCUUCACUCUUCAUCUUCUCCAGAGGCUCUGCCUGUAUCUUUUCUUCCUUCCUUUGCCUUUUGCUCCUCAUCUUCUCCAGAGGCUCCUGCUGUACUUUUUCUUUUCUCUUCCCUCCUUUGUCUUCACACUUCAUCUUCUCCAGAGAUUCUUCUUGUAUCUCUUUCUCUUCCAGUUGUUCUUUAUUUUAAGAAAAUAAUCAUUUACUUACUGAUUAAGUUAACAUUGUUCAUAUUGUGCAAUAUAAUGUUAAUAU